AUAAGUAUUUAAAUAUUGCGAAUACUACAUAAGUAAAAACGUAUAUAAAAGUGUUUUAAUUUCUUCAACAUUACAAUAAAAAAGAACAGCUUUGAAUCAUGACUAUAAUAGAUUAUAUACACACUUUAUCCGAUAAUCCGUAUUUUGGAGCUGGCUUUGGCCUUUUUGGAUUAGGAGCUGGAGCAGCUUUAUUGCGAAAGGGAAUGCAUACAGGAAUACUCUUAUUCAGACGACAUUAUAUGAUUACUUUAGAAGUUCCCUGCCGUGACAAAAGUUACCAAUGGCUGUUGCAGUGGAUUACAUAUAAGGGUGCAAAGGAAACACAACAUCUUUCUGUUGAAACAAGUUUCGAGCAAAAAGAUACAGGUCACAUAAAAACUAGAUAUGAUUUCAUACCAAGUAUUGGAACACAUUUCCUUAGGUAUGAAGGGAAUUGGAUAAAAGUAGAACGAACUAGGGAACAGCAGACAUUAGAUAUACAAAUGGGUAUACCAUGGGAAACUGUACAGCUCACUGCGUUUGGAAGGGAUAAAAGCAUAUAUUUUAACAUUUUAGAAGAAGCCAGGCAAAUGGCCUUGAAAAAACAUGAAGGCAAAACUAUAAUGUAUACAGCAAUGGGAAGCGAGUGGAGACAAUUUGGACAUCCUAAGAAUCGCAGACCAUUAGAAUCGGUUGUUCUAGAUACAGGAAUCGCGGAAAGAAUAAUAAACGAUUGUCGUGAAUUUAUACAAAAUCAUUCUUGGUAUAGUGAUCGGGGAAUUCCGUAUAGACGGGGCUACUUAUUGUAUGGACCUCCAGGUUGCGGUAAAUCGUCAUUUAUUACCGCGUUAGCGGGUGAACUAGAACGAGGUAUAUGCGUCUUAAAUCUGUCGGAACGAGGUUUAACGGAUGACAGAUUAAAUCAUUUAUUGGCUGUGGCUCCUCAACAGACUAUUAUACUAUUAGAAGACAUUGAUGCUGCAUUUGUUAGCAGAGAAGAGUCUAAAGAAGUUUCGGCUGCAUAUGCCGGUUUGAACAGAGUUACUUUCAGCGGCUUAUUAAAUUGUUUAGAUGGUGUUGCUUCUACCGAAGCAAGAAUACUUUUUAUGACAACUAACUACCUUGAAAGACUGGACCCUGCUCUAGUUAGGCCGGGUAGAGUGGACGUAAAAGAAUAUAUAGGCUGGUGUAGUGAAAAACAAGUAGAACAGAUGUUUUUGAGAUUUUAUAAAAGUGAUGGAAAUAACGAAGCGACUCAACUUGCUAAACAGUUUGCAGAAAACAUAACAUCACAGAAAAGAAACGUUAGUCCUGCACAAAUUCAAGGAUUCUUUAUGUUUUACAAAAAUGAUCCCGAUAGUGUAUUAAAAAAUGUUUCACACAUAUGGGAGCUUACAUGAUAAGAUCAAUUAUUAAAUAGUUUAGUAAUAAAUAUGAAGAUUCAUGGCAAAUAUAAUGAUCAGAAAUUAUGAUUUGCAAUGAUUAUACAUCCGAUGACUAUUUGCACAUUUUGCUGUUAAAUUACGAAAUUCCACUGUCACGCAUGAAAAAGAUGUCAACCCAUUAAAAAAAAAGUAAAAACAAAAGCGAUUUCAUAUUUUUAACCAACUUCAUCUAAAAAGAAAAAGGUAAUUAAAUUUACGACAAUAGUUGAGAUUAGUCCACUUUGUAUAUUUACAUAAUAUCGAUACGUUUCUUAAGACAUUUAAAUAAAUUCAAUCAAUAUCAUUUAAAAUGUACAUCUUUUAGAUCUUUGUAAUUCUUUUCGAAUAUUCUUGGAAUAUAAGAAACUGCGUUUUAUAAAAACUUGUACUUUAAAUUAAAGAUUAUUCUUUUUACAUAUAAUUCGACUAACUUAUUUAAGAAAGAAGGGCUAAACAUAAAUUCUUCUGCUAUCAGUUAAAAAUUGUACAUUCUCUUUUGUCUAGCUUCAUAUGCUACUGAAUAUUUCUAACAUACAAUAUUGAGAUCUUUUAGUAGUAAUCUUAAACUGUUAUAUUUCAAGAGAUACUACGCGCAAUCAUGAAAAUAUAUUAAAUUUAACUGGAA